AAGAACAGAAUGAAAUGACAACUGAUAAUGAGAUAAUUGAACAUCAUGAACAGAAUGAAAACACGCAUGAUAAUAAAGUAAUAGAAGAUGAUGAACAGAAUCGUACCACAAGUGAUAAUGACGUAAUAGAAGAUAAAGAACA